UACGAAGGGGGGCUAGCGUUGCUCGGAAUUACUGGGCGUAAAGCGCACGUAGGCGGUCUUUUAAGUCGGGGGGUGAAAUCCUGGAGCUCAACUCCAGAACUGCCUUCGAUACUGGAAGACUUGAGUCCGGGAGAGGUGAGUGGAAUUGCGAGUGUAGAGGUGAAAUUCGUAGAUAUUCGCAAGAACACCAGUGGCGAAGGCGGCUCACUGGCCCGGUACUGACGCUGAGGUGGCGAAAGCGUGGGGAGCAA
rnacentral:rRNA from 1 species